rnacentral:rRNA from 1 species
GGAUCAAAGCUGGCCUCUACUUGUAAGCUAGCGCCACCGGACGGGGCCCGCGCCCCAUUAGCUUGUUGGUGAGGUAACGGCUCACCAAGGCGACGAUGGGUAGCCGGCCUGAGAGGGCGAUCGGCCACACUGGAACUGAGACACGGCCCAGACUCCUACGGGGAGGCAGCAGGUGGGGAAUAUUGCGCAAUGGACGAAAGUCUGACGCAGCAACGCCGCGUGGGUGAAGAAGGCCUUCGGGUCGUAAAACCCUGUCAGGAGGGAAGAAACCUGCAUAGCAGCUGACGGUACCUCCAAAGGAAGCACCGGCUAACUCCGUG